rnacentral:rRNA from 1 species
AGUGAACGCUGGCGGUAUGCCUAACACAUGCAAGUCGAACGGCAGCACAGUAAGAGCUUGCUCUUACGGGUGGCGAGUGGCGGACGGGUGAGGAAUACAUCGGAAUCUACUUUUUCGUGGGGGAUAACGUAGGGAAACUUACGCUAAUACCGCAUACGACCUACGGGUGAGAGCAGGGGAUCUUCGGACCUUGCGCGAUUGAAUGAGCCGAUGUCGGAUUAGCUAGUUGGCGGGGUAAAGGCCCACCAAGGCGACGACCCGUAGCUGGUCUGAGAGGAUGAUCAGCCACACUGGAACUGAGACACGGUCCAGACUCCUACGGGAGGCAGCAGUGGGGAAUAUUGGACAAUGGGCGCAAGCCUGAUCCAGCCAUACCGCGUGGGUGAAGAAGGCCUUCGGGUUGUAAAGCCCUUUUGUUGGGAAAGAAAAGCAGCAGGUUAAUACCCCGCUGUUCUGACGGUACCCAAAGAAUAAGCACCGGCUAACUUCGUG